rnacentral:rRNA from 1 species
GGACGAACGCUGGCGGCGUGCUUAACACAUGCAAGUUGAACGGGCAUACAUGGAAGCUUGCUGAAGUGUAUGUUAGUAGCGGACGGGUGAGUAAUGCAUGAGAAGCUGCCAUUGGGAGGGGGACAACAGUUGGAAACGGCCGCUAAUACCCCGUACGGUUGUGAAGCUCUCGGGCUUUGCAAAGAAAGGGGCCCUUCAAGCGUCGCCGGGAGAUGAGUCCGCCCCCCAUUAGCUAGUUGGUAGGAUAAUAGCCUACCAAGGCUUCGAUGGGUAGCCGGGCUGAGAGGUUGGCCGGCCACACUGGGACUGAGACACGGCCCAGACACCUACGGGUGGCAGCAGUAGGGAAUAUUGGACAAUGGGCGAAAGCUUGAUCCAGCCAUGCCGCGUGGACGAUGAAGGCCUUCGGGUUGUAAAGUCCUUUUCUGAGGGAAGAAAUACAUGGGGAGGAAAUGCCCUGUGUUUGACGGUACCUCAGGAAUAAGCAACGGCUAACUCCGUGCCAGCAGCCGCGGUAAUACGGAGGUUGCGAGCGUUGUUCGGAUUUACUGGGCGUAAAGGGAGCGCAGGCGGCUUGGUUAGUCUAAAGUGAAAUCCAUGGGCUCAACCCAUGACGUGCUUUGGAUACUGCCAGGCUUGAGUAUGCGAGAGGAGAGCGGAAUUCCAGGUGUAGCGGUGAAAUGCGUAGAUAUCUGGAAGAAUACCGGUGGCGAAAGCGGCUCUCUGGCGCAAUACUGACGCUGAGGCUCGAAAGCGUGGGGAGCGAACGGGAUUAGAUACCCCGGUAGUCCACGCCGUAAACGUUGUGCACUAGGUGUGGGAGGUAUCGACCCCUUCCGUGCCGGAGCUAACGCAUUAAGUGCACCGCCUGGGGAGUACGGUCGCAAGACUGAAACUCAAAGGAAUUGACGGGGGCCCGCACAAGCGGUGGAGCAUGUGGUUUAAUUCGAGGCAACGCGAAGAACCUUACCCAGGCUUGACAUCCCGGGACCGCCCUGGAAACAGGGUUUCCCCUUCGGGGGCCCGGUGACAGGUGUUGCAUGGCUGUCGUCAGCUCGUGUCGUGAGAUGUUGGGUUAAGUCCCGCAACGAGCGCAACCCUUGUCCUUAGUUACCAGCGGUUCGGCCGGGCACUCUAGGGAGACUGCCGGUGAUAAGCCGGAGGAAGGUGGGGACGACGUCAAGUCAUCAUGGCCCUUAUGUCUGGGGCUACACACGUGCUACAAUGGCCGGUACAAAGGGUCGCAAACCCGCGAGGGUAAGCCAAUCUCAAAAAGCCGGUCUCAGUUCGGAUUGGAGUCUGCAACCCGACUCCAUGAAGUUGGAAUCGCUAGUAAUCGCGUAUCAGCUACGACGCGGUGAAUACGUUCCCGGGCCU